UUGAACGCUGGCGGCAUGCCUAACACAUGCAAGUCGAACGGCAGCACAGUGGAGCUUGCUCCAUGGGUGGCGAGUGGCGGACGGGUGAGUAAGGCAUCGGGAUCUACCCAGACGUGGGGGAUAACGUAGGGAAACUUACGCUAAUACCGCAUACGUCCUACGGGAGAAAGCGGGGGACCUUCGGGCCUCGCGCGGCUGGACGAACCGAUGUGCGAUUAGCUAGUUGGUGAGGUAAAGGCUCACCAAGGCGACGAUCGCUAGCUGGUCUGAGAGGAUGAUCAGCCACACUGGGACUGAGACACGGCCCAGACUCCUACGGGAGGCAGCAGUGGGGAAUAUUGGACAAUGGGCGCAAGCCUGAUCCAGCAAUGCCGCGUGUGUGAAGAAGGCCUUCGGGUUGUAAAGCACUUUUAUCAGGAGCGAAAUACUGCCGGCUAAUACCCGGCGGGGCUGACGGUACCUGAGGAAUAAGCACCGGCUAACUUCGUG
rnacentral:rRNA from 1 species